GUAGGUGAACCUGCGGAAGGAUCAUUACAAAUCCAUCACGUCUCCCUGAGACAACGUCUAACUGUUCCGAGCGUGAGGGCGCACCUCGCUCGCCGCCGGUGGCCUUGAGCCAGCGCGCGGCGCGCAGUGCGUCCGAUCGCCGUACCUUUACAACCCCCUUCUUAAGCUGACUGACCUGUUGCUUCAUAUGUAUGCUUCUCAUGCGCAUAAUAACGCGAGAAACAACUUAUAACAAUGGAUCUCUAGGCUC
rnacentral:misc_RNA from 1 species